rnacentral:ncRNA from 1 species
UCUUAUCAAGAGUGGUGGAGGGAUUGGCCCUAUGAAGCCCGGCAACCGGUAAUUUACACGGUGCUAAAUCCAACAGACGUUUUUUGUCUGAAAGAUAAGA